GACUCAUUGACGUCUGCCGUGUCGAAGCUAACGCAUUAAGUGAUCCGCCUGGGGAGUACGGCCGCAAGGCUAAAACUCAAAGGAAUUGACGGGGCCCCGCACAAGCGGCGGAGCAUGCGGCUUAAUUCGAUGCAACCCGAAGAACCUUACCUGGGUUUGACAUUAUGGGAAAAACUGUAGAGAUACAGUGUGCGUAAGCGUCCAUGACAGGUGGUGCAUGGCUGUCGUCAGCUCGUGUCGUGAGAUGUUGGGUUAAGUCCCGCAACGAGCGCAACCCUCGUUCUAUGUUGCCAGCGGGUUAUGCCGGGGACUCAUAGGAGACUGCCGGGGACAACUCGGAGGAAGGUGAGGACGACGUCAAGUCAUCAUGCCCCUUAUAUCCAGGGCUGCACGCAUGCUACAAUGGCCGGUACAACGGGCAGCGAUCCUGCGAAGGUGAGCGAAUCCCUCAAAGCCGGUCUCAGUUCGGAUUGAAGUCUGCAACUCGACUUCAUGAAGCCGGAGUCGCUAGUAAUCGUGGAUCAGCAAAGCCGCGGUGAAUACGUUCUCGGGGCUUGUACACACCGCCCGUCACAUCACGAAAGUUGGCAAUGCCCGUAGUCAGUGGUCUAACCCUU
rnacentral:rRNA from 1 species